CGACCGGCGGCCAGGGGGCCCUGGGCUGGCUGUUCGUGCUGGCCGCGGUGUCGGUGCUGCUGUUCCAGCUGCGGGUCACCGCCCGCGCCCGGCGG
rnacentral:tRNA from 1 species